rnacentral:rRNA from 1 species
GAGGCUCGUAGCGAUUCUGGCGUGCAAAUCGAUCGUCAAAUUUGGGUAUAGGGCCGAAAGACUAAUCGAACCAUCUA